rnacentral:tRNA from 1 species
CCUGGUGGCUCAGAGGUUAAAGUGCCUCCCUCCAAUGCAGGAGGCCCAGGUUCGAUCCCUGGGUCAGGA